rnacentral:rRNA from 1 species
GAGUUUGAUCAUGGCUCAGGACGAACGCUGGCGGCGUGCCUAAUACAUGCAAGUCGAGCGAGGGUUUUUAAGACCUAGCGGCGGACGGGUGAGUAACACGUAGGCAACCUGCCUCUCAGACCGGGGAUAACACUAGGGAAACGUUAUGCUAAUACCGGAUAGGUUUUGGUAUUGCAUGAGUCCGAAAAGAAAAGAUGGCUUUUUGUCUAUCACUGGGAGGAUGGGCCUGCGGCGCAUUAGCUAG